GUGCCUUCGGGAACUGUGAGACAGGUGCUGCAUGGCUGUCGUCAGCUCGUGUUGUGAAAUGUUGGGUUAAGUCCCGCAACGAGCGCAACCCUUAUCCUUUGUUGCCAGCGAUUAGGUCGGGAACUCAAAGGAGACUGCCAGUGAUAAACUGGAGGAAGGUGGGGAUGACGUCAAGUCAUCAUGGCCCUUACGACCAGGGCUACACACGUGCUACAAUGGCGCAUACAAAGAGAAGCGACCUCGCGAGAGCAAGCGGACCUCAUAAAGUGCGUCGUAGUCCGGAUUGGAGUCUGCAACUCGACUCCAUGAAGUCGGAAUCGCUAGUAAUCGUGGAUCAGAAUGCCACGGUGAAUACGUUCCCGGGCCUUGUACACACCGCCCGUCACACCAUGGGAGUGGGUUGCAAAAGAAGUAGGUAGCUUAACCUUCGGGAGGGCGCUUACCACUUUGUGAUUCAUGACUGGGGUGAAGUCGUAACAAGGUAACCGUAGGGGAACCUGC
rnacentral:rRNA from 1 species